rnacentral:rRNA from 1 species
AGAGUUUGAUUAUGGCUCAGGAUGAACGCUGGCGGCGUGCCUAACACAUGCAAGUCGAGCGAGAAUCUUAGAAGUGAAGUUCGAUGGAUCUUUAAGAGGAGAGCGGCGGACGGGUGAGUAACGCGUAGGCAACCUGCCUCACACUGAGGGAUACUUCCGGGAAACUGGAACUAAUACCUCAUAACGCGAGAGUUUCACAUGUUACUCUCGCCAAAGAUUUAUCGGUGUGAGAUGGGCCUGCGUCUGAUUAGAUAGUUGGUGAGGUAACGGCCCACCAAGUCAACGAUCAGUAGCCGACCUGAGAGGGUAAUCGGCCACAUUGGAACUGAGACGCGGUCCAAACUCCUACGGGAGGCAGCAGUGGGGAAUAUUGCACAAUGGAGGAAACUCCUGAUGCAGCAACGCCGCGUGAAGGAUGAAGGUCUUCGGAUCGUAAACUUCUGUCCUUGGGGACGAAACAAAUGACGGUACCCUUGGAGGAAGCCCCGGCUAACUACGUGCCAGCCGCAGC